rnacentral:rRNA from 1 species
UGCGUAGGUGGACUUGUAUGUCGGAUGUGAAAGCCCAUGGCUUAACUGUGGAACUGCAUUCGAAACUGCAAGACUAGAGUACAGGAGGGGAGAUCGGAAUUCUUGGUGUAGCGGUGAAAUGCGUUGAUAUCAAGAAGAACACCGGCGGCGAAGGCGGAUCUCUGGAAUGUUACUGACACUGAUGCACGAAAGCUGGGGGAGCAAACAGGAUUAGAUACCCGAGUAGUCC